AGUGAACGCUGGCGGUAUGCCUAACACAUGCAAGUCGAACGGCAGCACAGUAAGAUCUUGCUCUUACGGGUGGCGAGUGGCGGACGGGCGAGGAAUACAUCGGAAUCUACUUUUUCGUGGGGGAUAACGUAGGGAAACUUACGCUAAUACCGCAUACGACCUACGGGUGAAAGCAGGGGAUCUUCGGACCUUGCGCGAUUGAAUGAGCCGAUGUCGGAUUAGCUAGUUGGCGGGGUAAAGGCCCACCAAGGCGACGAUCCGUAGCUGGUCUGAGAGGAUGAUCAGCCACACUGGAACUGAGACACGGUCCAGACGACUACGGGAGGCAGCAGUGGGGAAUAUUGGACAAUGGGCGCAAGCCUGAUCCAGCCAUACCGCGUGGGUGAAGAAGGCCUUCGGGUUGUAAAGCCCUUUUGUUGGGAAAGAAAAGCAGCAGGUUAAUACCCCGCUGUUCUGACGGUACCCAAAGAAUAAGCACCGGCUAACUUCGUG
rnacentral:rRNA from 1 species